rnacentral:siRNA from 1 species
UGUGGGUUUCAAAUUUGAGGUGAG